rnacentral:rRNA from 1 species
UACGUAGGUGGCAAGCGUUGUCCGGAUUUAUUGGGUUUAAAGGGUGCGUAGGCGGUCUUAUAAGUCAGUGCUGAAAUAUCCCGGCUUAACCGGGAGGGUGGCAUUGAUACUGCAAGACUUGAGUAGAGUUGAGGUUGGCGGAAUUGACGGUGUAGCGGUGAAAUGCUUAGAUAUCGUGAGGAACACCAGAGGCGAAGGCGGCUACCUGGACAAUUGCUGACGCUCAGGCACGAAAGCGUGGGGAGCAAAAGGG